rnacentral:rRNA from 1 species
UACGAAGGGGCUAGCGUUGCUCGGAAUCACUGGGCGUAAAGAGCUCGUAGGCGGUUUGUCGCGUCGACUGUGAAAACCUACAGCUUAACUGUGGCUUGCAGUCGAUACGGCAGACUUGAGUUCGGUAGGGGAGACUGGAAUUCCUGGUGUAGCGGUGAAAUGCGCAGAUAUCAGGAGGAACACCGGUGGCGAAGGCGGGUCUCUGGCCGAUACUGACGCUGAGGAGCGAAAGCGUGGGGAGCGAACAGG